UACGUAGGGUGCGAGCGUUGUCCGGAAUUAUUGGGCGUAAAGAGAUCGUAGGCGGUUUGUCGCGUCUGCUGUGAAAACCUAAGGCUCAACCUUGGGCUUGCAGUGGGUACGGGCAGACUAGAGUGCGGUAGGGGUGACUGGAAUUCCUGGUGUAGCGGUGGAAUGCGCAGAUAUCAGGAGGAACACCGAUGGCGAAGGCAGGUCACUGGGCCGCAACUGACGCUGAGGAGCGAAAGCAUGGGGAGCGAACAGG
rnacentral:rRNA from 1 species